CCCAGGUCUGAGGCACUUUAACCCAGGUCAGAUGAAGCUCUUAACCAAUGUAUGAGGCUCUUUAACCCAGGUCAGAUGAAGCUCUUAACCAAUGUAUGAAGCUCUUUAACCCAGGUAAGAUGUGGUCUUUUACCCAGGUCAGAUGAAGCUCUUAAACCAGAUCAGAUGAAGCUCUAGGUAUAAUAUGUAACUAUAUAAUUGUAUACGUGCUAAUCUCGCCCACUUUUUUGCUUCCAGUGCAGUAGUCUCUGAGUGCUGCAGUAGAGGUUAACCCUUGUGUCAGUAGUCUCUGAGGGCUGCAGUAGAGGUUAACCCUUGUGUCAGUAGUCUCUGAGUGCUGCAGUAGAGGUUAACCCUUGUGUCAGUAGUCUCUGAGUGCUGCAGUAGAGGUUAACCCUUCAGUCCACUAGUCUCUCUGAGGGCUGCAGUAGAGGUUAACCCUUCAGUCCACUAGUCUCUCUGAGGGCUGCAGUAGAGGUUAACCCUUCAGUCCACGAGUCUCUCUGAGGGCUGCAGUAGAGGUUAACCCUUGUGGCAGUAGUCUCUGAGGGCUGCAGUAGAGGUUAACCCUUGUGUCAGUA